rnacentral:rRNA from 1 species
UACGUAGGGCGCAAGCGUUAUCCGGAAUUAUUGGGCGUAAAGAGCUCGUAGGCGGUUUAUCGCGUCUGCCGUGAAAGUCCGGGGCUCAACUCCGGAUCUGCGGUGGGUACGGGCAGACUAGAGUGAUGUAGGGGAGACUGGAAUUCCUGGUGUAGCGGUGAAAUGCGUAGAUAUCAGGAGGAACACCGGUGGUGAAGGCGGGUCUCUGGGCCGUAACUGACGCUGAGGAGCGAAAGCAUGGGGAGCGAACAGG